UACGGGGGGGGUAAGCGUUGUUCGGAAUUACUGGGCGUAAAGGGUUCGUAGGCGGCCAACUAAGUCAUACGUGAAAUCCCUCAGCUUAACUGGGGAACUGCGUGUGAUACUGGAUUGCUUGAGUCCGGGAGAGGUGAGUGGAAUUCCCAGUGUAGCGGUGAAAUGCGUAGAUAUUGGGAGGAACACCAGUGGCGAAGGCGGCUCACUGGACCGGAACUGACGCUGAGGCGCGAAAGCGUGGGGAGCAAACAGG
rnacentral:rRNA from 1 species